GGAAAUCAUCAGGAGCGCCGCAAAAUUGCGGACACCAACCGAGAGACCAAAAUCCACGGUGGUUUAGUAUGAGGGCUAUCGCCAAAAUAUAAGAUGCAU
rnacentral:ncRNA from 1 species